AUUACUCCUACGGGAGGCAGCAGUCGAGAAUUUUUCUCAAUGGGCGAAAGCCUGAAGGAGCGACGCCGCGUGGGGGAUGAAUGGCUUCGGCCCGUAAACCCCUGUCAUUUGCGAUCAAACCUUACGACCUAACACGUCGUGAGCUGAUAGUAGCGGAAGAGGAAGGGACGGCUAACUCUGUGCCAGCAGCCGCGGUAAUAAU
rnacentral:rRNA from 1 species